UCCGAGUUGACCCCGGCAGUCUCCCAUGAGUCCCCGCCAUUACGCGCUGGCAACAUGGAACGAGGGUUGCGCUCGUUGCGGGACUUAACCCAACAUCUCACGACACGAGCUGACGACAGCCAUGCAGCACCUGUGUCGGCUCCCCUUGCGGGGUCGGGCCCCUUUCGGUUUCCUACCACCGACAUGUCAAGCCCAGGUAAGGUUCUUCGCGUAGCCUCGAAUUAAACCACAUGCUCCACCGCUUGUGCGGGCCCCCGUCAAUUCCUUUGAGUUUCACCCUUGCGAGCGUACUCCCCAGGUGGCAUGCUUACCAGGUUACCUACGGCACCGACUCAAAUGAGCCAACACCAAGCAUGCAUCGUUUAGGGCGUGGACUAC
rnacentral:misc_RNA from 1 species